CGAAUCUGUACAAGAAAAGGAAAUUUGUCGCACGAAAAAAGAAGAAAAAAAGAAUUCAGAACAAAAAUUCGUUGGUUGGUAUCAAUAUCGAUCGACGAUAUGAAACAUCUCACUUCGCGUUGUAUGGAACGCAACAGAGUUUCUUGCAGGAUGCGCGCAUGUGUGUGCGAUCAAUGUGUACAUCAAUAGAAAAUAGAAAUAGUAAAAUCUUCAGUUCGAACUCGGCUUGAACGUCGUGUACUGCGGCGGCUUCUCGAUCUUGCAAUGGGGCUUCAGGGUUGCUAAACGAUCUGGUUUGAGAAACAGCUGCUCCCCCUGCACAAUUUUCAUCUUAAGGAUCUUAAGAGCAUACGAAUCUGGUCGCGUUCAAGACACGCGUGUAACCGGAAGCAUCGGACAAAUAAAACUCUACAGGUUAUGAACGAAGUGGCACCAAUAAUAGUUUCGAGAUGCGAGCAGCAAAGCUAAUUAAUCGUUACAAUGAUUUUGCGCAAUGAUAAUGAUGAUUCGCGAUCGGACGAAGUGCAAAUGAGAUGAAAUGGAGGAAAGAGAAAGAGAGAGAAAAAAUGAAUAAAAGAGAAAGAGUGGGAGAGAAGAACGUCUCGAUGAAUAUAAAAGGUAUGCAUACACAAAUGUUAACAUGCACGUGGAAUUUGCGAUGUCAUAACAUGCUUGAUAAUGAUCCUUGUCAAAGGCAAAUCAAGGGAAAAUUCCCUCGAGCCAUUCAAAUUAAAUCUUUUACGAUUUAGCAAUUAUACCGUGCACGUUCUACAUCUGUUCAAGGAUUGGUUUAAGUAAAUAGUCGUAUGCUUUUCUCUAUCGAUUUUCGAAGAAUCAGUUACACGUGUAUACAACGUAAAACUUAACGUUUAUUGAGUCGCGGAACUAUCUUGAAUAAUCGUUAACUUCGAUUAAUGAUUAGCAUUAUGGUAACCUAUUUGUAUUGAGCGGCGAUUCUCGCUAAUUACCGAUACGCUUAUUUGAACGAAUAGAUCGGUAAUCGAACAUACGAUUAUCUGUGGCUUUUAAUUACACUGGCGGAUGCACACCGUCCGAUUAUAAUAUUAAUAAUAAUAAUAAUAAUAAUAAUAAUAAUAAUAAUAAUAAUAAUAGAUUCGUCGAUAAUGCGAUUUAUCGUAAGUAAUUAUCUUCACAACCGUAUGUAUAUAAUAUAAUUAUAUAUAUAUGUGUAUAUUAAUACAUAUCUAUAUAAAUUUUUCAAGCUUCUUCGAUGCACAUGAUCAGCUAGUGAUUUAGCCGACGUUAUAUUUAAGAAACGAGUAAUAUAGUUUCUUUAAUAAAAAUCAGUCUUUCGUUUUCUUUCGUUAACGCUUAAGGGAAACACUGGUGGCUGUAUCAGAAAUAUAUGGAUGCAAAAAUAAAACGAAAGCAAGAAUAAGAAUGCAAGCUGAAAGAAUUAAAUUUCUUAUUUAACCUUGUUAUUCACGGUACAAUCGUUUCUCUUAUAACGCAUACGAUCAAUCUGUAUCAGAUAGUAAAGUGAUCUAAGAUUUUAAUUUACCUUCUUGCGAAUAUAUUUUCCAUACGAUGUCCUGUAAAAAUGGAUCAGAUUAUAUUGAAAUCGUUGAAGAAGUUGAAUUAAAAAUCCUUUUCUUCUUGCAGGUAAUUCACGAUUUCCAUUUAUAAUUUUUCCAUUUAAAAUUAUUUCCAAGAUGUUACAUGGAGCAAAUUGUGUGGAUAUAUAUCGUGAAUAGAUUCGUUCGAUCGUUUUAUCGUUAAAAUUACACGGAAGAAUAGAGAUUCGAUGGCGUUAUAGCAGAAAUGGUUAUAACCGCUACUUACGUACACGUACCUAAUGACAUUACCUACAAGGACAUUGCGGUAAUUGGGAGAGGGACACCGCGGUGUCUAGAUGCAACCAAAUGCAUGCGUAAUACACCCUACUGGCCGCAUAAAUCACUCAAAUGACUAUCUCGAUCGGGAAAGGGACAGCGGCUAAUGGUCAAUACUUGUGUAAGUCUAUAUUGUCUUGGUGGCUAAUAUUAGGAUCGGAGACGAUAAACGUGAUAUACUUUCAACGUGUGUGUAUAUAUAUACAAGUUUAUGAAAUGAUAGUUCGUAACUGUAAUACGUGUAUUCCGUUCUUUUCAAAGCACUAUGUAUCGUGCAGAGCAUGAGUGUAGUAUGUACAUGAAUCCUUUGAAAUCGUUCCUUUUUCGUUCUUACUGGGCGUGAAUGAACGUCAAUAGAGGUCUAACGAGUGAAUUUUUCGAUCGAAUGGUAUUUAAUGGGAGAGCAUAACGUAACCGACUAUCGUAAAGACACGUGUAACGUUUCUAAAUAUAUAUUCAAUGUACGAUACUCUAACACGAUAUUUUCGUUCGUAUGAGAUAACUUUGAUGAAUUUAUAUAAACGAGAGAAAAAAAGAAAAAAGAAAACUAGAUGAGAAGUGAUGAUGAUCGAUGAAAAUAAACAGAGAUAGAAUAAGCAUAAAACUGUCUUAAUUAACCAGAUAGGAAAUAAAUGGGUUUUUUCAUGCUAGAAA